rnacentral:rRNA from 1 species
GUACACUCCUGCGGGAGGCAGCAGUGGGGAAUAUUGGACAAUGGGCGCAAGCCUGAUCCAGCCAUGCCGCGUGAGUGAUGAAGGCCCUAGGGUUGUAAAGCUCUUUCACCGGUGAAGAUAAUGACGGUAACCGGAGAAGAAGCCCCGGCUAACUUCGUGCCAGCAGCCGCGGUAAUACGAAGGGGGCUAGCGUUGUUCGGAUUUACUGGGCGUAAAGCGCACGUAGGCGGACUAUUAAGUCAGGGGUGAAAUCCCGGGGCUCAACCCCGGAACUGCCUUUGAUACUGGUAGUCUUGAGUUCGAGAGAGGUGAGUGGAAUUCCGAGUGUAGAGGUGAAAUUCGUAGAUAUUCGGAGGAACACCAGUGGCGAAGGCGGCUCACUGGCUCGAUACUGACGCUGAGGUGCGAAAGCGUGGGGAGCAAACAGGAUUAGAAACCCUAGUAGUCCC